rnacentral:rRNA from 1 species
CCCUUAGAUGUCCUGGGCCGCACGCGCGCUACACUGACACGCCCAUCAAGCAUACAACCUUGGCCGGGAGGCCUGGGUAAUCUUUGAAAACGUGUCGUGAUGGGGAUUGACGGUUGCAAUUUUCCGUCAUAAACGAGGAAUUCCUAGUAAACGCAAGUCAUCAACUUGCAUUGAUUACGUCCCUGCCCUUUGUACACACCGCCCGUCGCACCUACCGAUUGAAUGGUCCGGUGAAGCCUCCGGAUUGGCGCGCACCUCGGUGCCGCCGAGAAGUUGGCUAAACCUUACCAUUUAGAGGAAGGUGAAGUCGUAACA